rnacentral:lncRNA from 1 species
CCCAUGCUCACCUCCACCCCAGUAAACUCCUAUUCAUCCCUCAAAACCCCAGCUCUGCCAUCAAGUCUUCCAGGAAGGCUCUCCCAGCACCAUCCUCACCUGCAGGUGGGUUUUGCACCACAUCUAUGCUUUGACCUGGGCUGCUGUUGGACAGUUGCCAUGAGCCCAGACCUCUCUGAGAGCAUGUGGAGCACCCUUUAUGACACAAACAAGAGCUCAAGGAUGGUGGCUGGGGUUCAGUCUGCCGCUGCAAAUACCAAAAGCUGUCCUCAUUGAGUCAUCCCUCCCAGAGCAGGAAGAGCAGAGAUAAAACAGCAUGUAAGCAUCUCUGCAGUUGCUGUCCCCAGAGCCCACUUCCUGGAUAUUGCCAGCUGCCUGGACCAACCUUUCCGAAAGAUCAGCCAGGUCACAGUGAGGGUCAAAGCAGGAGGCCACUGGAGGCUCCAAGGGCUCUGAAAUGUUGAGAACUUCCCUGCAGGUACCAGCGAAGAGGGCAAGAACACAGCACUACUUCCUUGGAUACUGUUUCCCUCCUCAGAGGGGUUUUCUGAGCUGCCCUGGGUCCUGUGAGGAAGAUCUCCCCUUCCUGUAAAGACACCAGUCCUACUGGAUCAGGGCCCACCCGUGUGACUUCACUUUUACUUGAGUACCUCUCACAGACCCUAACUCCAAAUCAGGUCACUUGCUGAGGUACUGCAUGUGAAGACUUUGACAUUUGAAUUUUGAGGGGGCCACCGUUUAACCUGAACCACCAAGGACAGAGCCAAAGACCCUGGGUGACAGGCCCAGAACAGGACCUGGUGGAGGCUCUUCUUUAGGGGAGAGAGGGAAAUGGGAGCCACCACUGGCAGAGCCUGAAGGCAGGGCAGCCAGAAAGAAGCUGUGGGAGUCCCCACCAUGGAAGACCCUGCCGAGCAUCCUGUGUCUCCUGAAGCAGACCCUGACAUGAGGACUGGGGGCACGUGUUUAUUAAGGGCGAUCCCCGGAAGGAGGAGAUAACCAGGCAGAAGUCCUAGCAGAGUAUGCCCACGCUGGUUAGUGCUGCUGCAAAGAUGAGCCGAAGACCAUGAGAGACCUCCAGGUGGUCCUUCUGGGGAGAAGAAAUGGGUUUUGGCCCCAAAUCCUUCUGCUGCAUUUUUCCCCUAUCCCUGGGAAGCCAUGAGACCUCAAACCUGUGUUCCCAAGGAGGCGAGCUGCUGUUCCCAGGUGAUGAUAUGAUGUGCUUGGGGAAAGUAAGUGGCUGCCAGACAUGGCUGAGAGCUGUUGUCACUGCCGUCAAGUGCAUGUCUCCAAGCCAUAUCACACGGCGUCCCUCGAUGUGAGGCCACAUGGCAAGUGGGCCGUGGAUCUCCCUCUGCCCUUUGCAAGCACGUAAGACAGCAGAUUUUGCAGAUACCUUGUGGCGCAGGGGAAUUUCCUUUGGCCAGGUCUGAAGAAAUAAAGCAGCAGGCACCGAGAACAAAGCCAAGGCUUUCAAAAGACAAGGAGCCAAAAAACUUACUCAA